rnacentral:rRNA from 1 species
CAGUAGCCACGGUAAUACCGAGUGUGCAAGCGUUAAUCGGAAUUACUGGGCGUAAAGCGCGCGUAGGUGGUUUGUUAAGUUGGAUGUGAAAGCCCCGGGCUCAACCUGGGAACUGCAUCCAAAACUGGCAAGCUAGAGUACGGUAGAGGGUGGUGGAAUUUCCUGUGUAGCGGUGAAAUGCGUAGAUAUAGGAAGGAACACCAGUGGCGAAGGCGACCACCUGGACUGAUACUGACACUGAGGUGCGAAAGCGUGGGGAGCAAACAGGAUUAGAUACCCCUGUAGUCCCUGUCUCUUAUAA